AAUCGCGGAUCAGCAUGCCGCGGUGAAUACGUUCCCGGGCCUUGUACACACCGCCCGUCACACCACGAGAGUUUGUAACACCCGAAGUCGGUGGGGUAACCUUUUGGAGCCAGCCGCCUAAGGUGGGACAGAUGAUUGGGGUGAAGUCGUAACAAGGUAGCCGUAUCGGAAGGUGCGGCUGGAUCACCUCCUUUCUAUGGAGA
rnacentral:rRNA from 1 species